GACGUAGGGCGCGAGCGUUGUCCGGAUUUAUUGGGCGUAAAGAGCUUGUAGGCGGUUUGUCGCGUCUGCUGUGAAAAUCCGGGGCUCAACCCCGGACUUGCAGUGGGUACGGGCAGACUAGAGUGUGGUAGGGGAGACUGGAAUUCCUGGUGUAGCGGUGAAAUGCGUAGAUAUCUGGAGGAACACCGGUGGCGAAGGCGGCAUCCUGGACCGACACUGACGCUGAGGAGCGAAAGCCAGGGGAGCAAACGGG
rnacentral:rRNA from 1 species